CGUUAUGGGCGGGGUCGCGUCGGCACCCGAAAGGGUGGUCGGCCUUCGUGGUCGGCACUCCAACCUUCGCGGCUUUGCCCACCACU
rnacentral:misc_RNA from 1 species